rfam:Anaerolineae bacterium CG1_02_58_13 cg1_0.2_scaffold_21420_c, whole genome shotgun sequence.
GUCAUCGUGAGGUGAGGUCUGGACGCUUCGCAGAGCUGGCGGCAAACUUGCAGUUUGAGGAACACAAACCCGAUAAGAGGCCGUGAGGCAGGGCGAGUUGGCAUGAGACAACGAAGCCCCGUGCAAUCAAGGGCUUGGGAAGUAAAUGCGACAAGGGUGCAGGGAAAGUCCAACCAGU